CCUACGGGGUGCAGCAGUAGGGAAUAUUGCUCAAUGGGCGAAACCCUGAAGCAGCAACGCCGCGUGGAGGAUGAAGGCUUUCGGAUUGUAAACCUCUUUUGUUAGAGAAGAUAAUGACGGUAUCUAACGAAUAAUGACCGGCUAAUACCGAGCAAGCAGGCGCGGUAAUACGGAGGGUGCAAGCGUUACUCGGAUUUACUGGGCGUAAAGAGAGCGUAGGCGGGAUAGCAAGUCAGAUGUGAAAUCCUUAGGCUUAACCGUAGAACUGCAGUUGAAACUGUUAGUCUGGAGUGUAGUAGAGGUAGGUGGAAUUCUUGGUGUAGCGGUGAAAUGCGUAGAGAUCAAGAAGAAUACUCAUUGCGAAGGCAGCUUUCUAGACUAUAACUGACGCUGAUGCUCGAAAGCGUGGGGAGCAAACAGGAUUAGAUACCCUUGUAGUC
rnacentral:rRNA from 1 species